rnacentral:rRNA from 1 species
CAGUCGCCACGGGAAUACGAGGGGGGCAAGCGUUGUUCGGAUUUAUUGGGCGUAAAGGGUGCGUAGGCGGUUUGGCAAGUCUUGUGUGAAAUCUUCGGGCUCAACCCGAAGCCUGCACGAGAAACUACCGGGCUUGAGUAUUCGAGAGGUGAGUGGAAUUUCCGGUGUAGCGGUGAAAUGCGUAGAUAUCGGAAGGAACACCUGUGGCGAAAGCGGCUCACUGGACAAUAACUGACGCUGAUGCACGAAAGCUAGGGGAGCAAACAAGAUUAGAGACCCCAGUAGUCCCUGUCUCUUAUAC